UAUAUACUACCUCCGUCCGAAAAUACUUGUAAUCAAAAUGGAUAAAAAGGCUAGAUACAUCCCUUUUUAUCCAUUUUGAUGAUAAGUAUUUUCGGAUGGAGGGAGUAUCUA
rfam:Triticum aestivum genome assembly, contig: Triticum_aestivum_CS42_TGACv1_scaffold_193587_3AL